UACGUAGGUGGCAAGCGUUGUCCGGAAUUAUUGGGCGUAAAGCGCGCGCAGGCGGUCCUUUAAGUCUGAUGUGAAAGCCCACGGCUCAACCGUGGAGGGUCAUUGGAAACUGGGGGACUUGAGUACAGGAGAGAAGAGUGGAAUUCCACGUGUAGCGGUGAAAUGCGUAGAGAUGUGGAGGAACACCAGUGGCGAAGGCGGGUCUCUGGACAGUUCCUGACACUGAGACACGAAGGCCAGGGGAGCAAACGGG
rnacentral:rRNA from 1 species